rnacentral:lncRNA from 1 species
UGCAUUUGACCAUUCAGUGUUCUUGGAUUUCUUUUGGAAAUUUCUUCUCACAAGUUUGAAAGUGUAUAUAAUCUUUUAUGUUAUGUUGCCACUGCUAGAGGAGCUAAGAUAAAAGGUAAGAAAGGCAGAAAUGGGCUGAAGGUAACGAGACUCUUUCCUUGGUUUGUAGCCCAGAUACUGAUGGUGUGAUGGCAGAGGCUUUGCUCACAUUCUGGUUCUCCUCUACGGAUUCUAGAGAAGCAUUGCGGGAAAGAGUUGGAAAGAUCUUACGGAGGGGCCUGAAAAAAUACACAGGACCUCUGCGAAUAAAUGUCCGAUCUUCUACCGUCUCAAAUGUGGAGCCAAAAAGAGCAGAAGCCAUCUUCAAUGACAGUAAGUGAGGCUUUUUUAAACAUCAGAAGUCUCAUCUCCAACUUUUAAAAUUAGCGUUAAGAGUCCCUUUUCCUGGCCCUUAAGAGCCUUUUCUCCUUCUUCUGUCUACGGAAUGUGACCUUUUACUCUCAGAAAUUUGGACUAUGUCAUCUUCUUCAGCAUGCAUUGAAAGGAGAGAGGUACCACAAGGAAAUGUAUAGAAGUUACAUCAUCCUGUGGUUAAAAUGAAAAUGUUAUGGAAUUUGGAAUGACUGACAGCACAAAAUUUUUCCUCGUGGAAAUAUAUGGAAAUGUGACUGGUCUUCUCAAUGCAUUACUGUAGGGGUUAGAUAGAGAUACCUUGUUUUAGGGAUUUUUUUAAGUUUUCCGAGAAAGAAGUCAGCUUACUUGGAGAUAAAAUAGUCAUAAAAGCUAUCUUUGCUUACAAUUUGUGUUUCUUUUAACUCUGAGAAUGUUUGAUGAAUUCCUUAGCAAUAAGCUGUCAAACAAUGGAAGAUUAAAUUACAUCACUUUUUGGGUCUGAUGUAGGUGCUGGUGUUCUGGGGCACUAAUGGAGUUGAGUGUUUUCCCUGUGUUUUGAAUAUUGACUGCUCAGGUGGUUGAUAGGAUUGUGCAGUUUUAGGACCAG